AGUCCAAGAAUACUGGAAUGGGUAGCCUAUCCCUUCUGCAGUGGAUCUUCCCAACCCUGGAAUCGAACUGGUGUCUCCUGCAUUUCAGGUGGAUUCUUUACCAACUGAGCCAUCAGGAAAGCCCAGAAAGGAUAUGGGUGAUGUGUAAACUGGUGACAUGACAAAUCCUUAUGUGUUUUGUGUCUACAGGAUGGAUGUAGGAACCUUCGCAGAUGAUAAAAUCAGCAUUGUCUCCUACAACUGAUUUUGCUUGGUCCAUCGUGGUCUGCAGUGCAGAAGAAAAUGUAACUCAGACAUCUGGGAGAAUUGCACCUGUAUAGGCACUGGGGGCAUACUACAUAUUGAACUCUGAAUUAAAAUGCUUGCUUUUUUAUUUUAGGUGCUGCCAUUUCCUUAUGUACUUUCUCAUAGUUACUAUUCCUGGCGUUUAAUGUUAAGACUUGAUGGCUAGGAAAUGUUAUAAAGAUGGACUGUGAGAGCUUGAGUCCACUAAAGCUUGGAUUAUAUGCCUGUGAACUUAAAAGUAUUGACUCAGUUAGGCAGAACUAGUCAUGCAUUAGGAAAUCUUUAAGAGCCAUCUUGAAACAAAUUUCAGACCCGAAUGGUGUUCAUGAGCUAUAAUUUGAAGAGUGACUGAGGGAUGUGAGUACUAGAUUUAGAUACUUAUUUUAAAAAACAAUUUCCUGUGGAUUAAGAUGGAUGUUUUAUUCAUAAGUGCUAGUUUGAUCUUUAUAUGCCUUUGAUAUUUUAAAGUCUUACAGUUCCUGUUUUGAAUUCAUUUCUAUAUAAAGUC